CUGGGCUGCAGCCAACCAGAAAUCAUGAACUGCAGUCGAACAGAGAGAGGAUUCAAACUCCGACUCUGCAUCACAACGUACAGCAAGUCUCUGGACCUGGUCUUGUCUCGAGGUUGUGCGACGUCUCGCCACUGUCAGCAGACGGAGCUUCCUGGAGUCUCGGUUGCUUGCUGUGAUUGGUCGCUGUGUAAUGGCGGUUGGCAGUGGGCGGGGACGGUCACUGCUGUCAUCACCAGCUUCAUUACCAGCUGUUGGUUUCUUCUGCAAGGACACACUGAGAACUGAUUCUGGAUCAAUUCUGGACCUCAGACUGAAGGAAGAUGAACUCGGGACGUCACAGAAAUUGUGACGGGACAAUUGGACAGUGCCUGAUCCAUGAAGUCACUAAUUAGAAGUUAGACACCAGCUUUAAGGUGAAGUAACCUCCUCCCUUACUCAUUUCUGCAGUCUGCUGCUGCCCCUCAGUGGCCGCAGCAGAGGACUGCUGCUGUACUCAGCUCCCGGGAAAGAAGACGUGUAACUAUGAAGUAGAGAUGAAGGGGGGCAUGCAAAGUGUGCAAAAUCAUUUUACUUCAUUUUGAUGUUGAUGU